CAUAUUCAUUCAAACCUCCACAUGCACCAUGGCGAUUUAUUACAAACUCUAGUACAGGAUGCUGACAUGGCCUUAACAGUGAAUAUGGAACCAUUCUGACACUAGGCCUUGCAUCAGUUCUCCUUCCUCAGCAAUUUACACAUUUUAAAAAAAGCUGAACUAAAGUGAAUGCACCCAAGAUCACACAGAUGCUUUGUGUGAUUAGCAAGUUAAUAUGAAUAAAGACCCACCUGACACUGACCUACUAGUCUAAUCCUCGAGUGCUGAAGGAACAAGUGAGAAGUACUUUGGGGUUUCUGUAUCUCGAAGAACAUUAAAAGUUCCAGUAAGUACUAAAAGAUGUAAGGAGAGAGCAAGCAUCACCGUGGUGAUUGAUGUAAGAAACUGAAUGUCUGAAUGGUACCCUCCAGUGCACAGAACAUUACAUGAUGAAAUGACCAGUGUAUUAGUAUCUAUUUUGAAACUACAAAAGCAGACUCUGAAAUUAAGCCACCUAAGAAUUCCAAGCCACUUCAUUUGUUUUUGUGACCCUUUGAAAAUUAUAUUAUAAACAUAUUAGUAUUUUUUGAAAACCCAAAAACGUAGUUGCUUUUAUCACAAAUAAAUAUAUUGGUGUUAGCCAUUCUCCUCAAUCUAAUUUCAUUGUUAUGUUCAACUAGCAAGUUUAGACACUCAAAAUGAGCAUGGUAAAUUCUUCUAAGCAGUUAUGUAAGACACAUCAGAUUUGAAUGCACAUACGCUGGUUUUACAGGUAGAAUGUAUACAUACUACAUAUCUUUACCCCAAAUCUGGAAAUCCCGGCAGACAACCUACCUAACACAAAGAAAGGGUCUUCACUGAUACACAUAGGGACUACAGAUACUAAACCUAUUUCUUGAAGAUAUCCUUUAACUGGUAAACUUUAGAAUGAGGAGAUCCAACAACUGCUGUGUGCUCAACUGUAUUUUAUAAUGUCUCUGACUGUUUCUUCUGUUGCUAUCAUUCAUGAUUAAAAUUGGAUUGAAUAUAAUUCUUUUUUUUUCUUUUUUUUGGUUCUUCGAGACAAAGUUUCUCUGUAGUUUUAGAGUCUAUGCUGAAACUAGCUCUUGUAGACCAGA